AUUAAGCUUUAUUUCAACUUAGGAGACACUGCUCAGCUGGUUGAAUUUGGAGGCGCAGGGCUCUGACUCUGAAUUUAGAGAAGAUCCAGCUGUGAGGGGGAUGGAGUAUUUCCCAGUGAGAUACUGGUCAGGCUUUACAGCAUCACAGCCUGUUUCUGUAAUGAAUAACAUCUAGGAACUAGCAGCAGCACUUUCCUUCUGAAUGGGAUAUUGUUUCAAGAAAAAUUGAAAUAGAAAAAUGAAAUCUCUCUUUUUUUUUUUUUAACAUUUUAAAGGGUUUUUAUUGGAAAAAAAAAUGCACAAUGAUCAAUAUGAAAUAUUUUGUCAAACCAAAUCUGAGUUUCAUGGGGGGGNNNNNGGGGGAGUAAGUAAAUUUGGGUUAAAAACCAACACCUAGCAAGGGUCAAAUACCCUUUUAAUUUCCCGCUGUUGUGCUCUCUGGGCCACUAAUCAAUGUACAGUUACCAGCUGACCUUCCCAGUUUUUUAAGACAGUCAUUUAGGAAUUCAUGAUUAAUGCAUAAUCUUCUUCAUGAAGCAGUUGCUGCUGCAACACCAACAUACUCACAAAGGUUAGUCAACUAAUGAGACUUCAUCGCAAAACCUGUGAAUGAGAGGGAGGAGGGAGAUGAUUUAUUUAAGUGGGUAAAUGUCUGUAAACAAAAGAAGGCAUCUUCUUUUAAGCAAUUCCUUAAUUUAGUUAUUUUCUUAAGAAAAAAAUGUUUGGCUUCCUUUAAGGAUAACAUAUCUAUGACAGGAUUUCUUUUUAAAUGCUAUUUUGUUUAAUAAAUCAUGUAAAUUCCAGCAUGUAAACUAGAGCAUUACAGACAGGCUUAUAAAUAAUUAACAGCUUGCUUGCAUGCAAGGGGAGAAAAUAUCAAAUUCAGCAAAUUGGACAGGAAGCUGAUUGUUUACCCUCAUGAGGAAUAAAAGAUUGGAUCCUAAAAUGCCUGUAGGUUUGCUGGUGUAAGGAGAGAGGUGUUUCUGUAUUCAGUGUGCUGGUCUGAGGUGGGGAGGCUAUUAUCUUUUGAGCUGCUGCAGGCACAACAGCUGAGCUACUGGAGGGCUGCAGUACCCAAAGCUGCUUCUUGGCCUCUGGUACCUGUAACAGGUCCCUUGACGGAGACAAGGAGUCACAGCAGAGGAGAGCAGUGUCAGGAUCCUUGUGCUCCAGGUGGGGAGAUGUGGCUUGUGCAGAGUCUGUGUCUCGUUUGCCCCAGUGUAAUGCCUUCAGAGUGCCCUUUGCAUAGUCCUUCUGGUGAAUACUCUUUUGGGGAAGUUUUGAAGUGCUGAAGCCUGUACUCUGGUUACGUAAAUACCCAUAUCCACUUCUCUGUGCAGCACUGUGCUUCCUCUAUUCCCUCCUUCCACCUGCUCUUCCAAGGGGACCACAGUCCUCCUAGCAAGAUCAGUCUGUUGCUAUGGAAAUCUUUGUCACAAAUGAAGACUUCACAGCGAGGCAGAGGUAUUAAAACCAGACAUUUACAUAUGCCUCUGGCUCCAGAGGGAUUUGGGUCUUGUCAUUUGCAGUGAAAGAUGCAGCUGCUUUCCCUUUUCUCCCAGGGUGGUGCUGGCCAGGGAGGUGGUGGGGUCAUAUAGAGACACUGAAGAAACCUCCCCAGCUGUGCUGCAUGGCCCCCACAUCUCCCUGUUACUGUGGGGGUCAGCAACUAGUCCUGCAGCAUUAACGCCUCUUCCUCAAAACAUACUUGAGCUUUUCCUCGGAAGUGCUGCGGAGCAGGAAUGUCGGCAGCUGAUGGAGUGAAAUCAGGGAAGAGCAUUAGAAAUAGAUAUGUAGGGAGGGCAGCUGCUGAA
ensembl:lncRNA